AUAAAUAUUAUCACAUUGAAAACACCGGUUCUCGUCCGAUCACCGAAUUUAAGCAAUGUCGGGCCCGGUCAGUACUUGGGAGGGUGAUUAUAAGCUAAAUUU